UAGCACGCGCUAGAGUGAUUCAAAACAUCGAAUUUGACCGACACUGAACAGAGAUAAAACCCAGAUGUAUACAUGGCCUGGAUUUCCAUAUUAUGCUGCCCAGAAUAAAAGACGAUGCAGUCCAGAUAAAAACAUGAUGCAUCAGAUGAAGUCUUUGACUAUCUAGAAAGGGAUUUUGUAAGCUAGUACUGGACAUGAAGACAGUCACUUGGAAAUGAUGAUUGUGCAACAGCGGUUAAACAUAUGCAAUACAUCAUAUGGUGACCAGACAGGGAGGAAACUAGGGAAAUGGUUAUCCACCAACAGCCCAAGUGCUUGGUUGAUAAGAGGAGCCACAGCAUUAAACAUUACUGCACAAAGUGGUGUGCUAAAUGCUAACACUUAUGAUUGUGAUUUGAUAAAAAAAGCAAUGAAUGAACGCUCAUUAUUCAUAACUAUAACUAAAACAUUGAUGUCAAAAGUUGUCAAUUUUCAACAUAUAUAGUAUUUGAGAUAUUGAUCUAUAGUUGUGUGCAAUGGAUUAUCAAAGAAAAACAAAAGAGUGGGCAACAAAAUGAAUAGCAUAAUGCACCAGUCAAUUGUAACCACAUCCCGCCCCCAGGUCCGGGGACUUUUGACUUUUGGUCCAGCCUACCCCAGGUUAAAUUCCCUGAACUGAUCCUGAACUAAAAUCCCUGCCAAAUUCCCCCGCAUCCAACAUACCAUAGGUAAGACAAAACCACCGCAUUCACACCCAGUAUACCCCCAGACGGGGGUGGUGGUGGUUACAAUUGACAUGUGCAUUACCCACUACCCAUUUACACCAGUAAUUCAUAAUUAUAUUUGAUAGACAUGCCUCUUGUCAAAGGUUUUGAAGGGUAUGAACGUCAGAACUACCUGCCUAUGGCCUUUCAAGAUUUUAUAACAUUGUUAAACUAAAGAAAUUAUUAUUAAGUUUAUACUAGAUCUUUGUUAAGAGUGACCCCUUUGAUAAUUCUGGAGAAAAACUAUUAGGAUUAGGUUCUGUAUUUGUCCAUAAUUUGUCAUAUGACAUGUAAGCAGGAGUUCAUUCCUUCAAAGAAUUGUGAAUCUUAUAUAAUUAUGUAUUUGACAUCUUAUGAAUUUUAUCACACUUUAACCUAGAGGCAGUUCAAAUAAAUACUGCUAUGAUUGAACCAAUACUGAAUAAGGGCAAGAAUUCCAAACAAGACAGUAUACAUCUAGUAUCAUGUUUGUCUGAUAAUUUUGAAAUCAUAGUGAUUAAAUCUAAAAGGAUGUUAAAGCUGCACUGUCACUGAUUAAGAGUUUUCACAUUUGCUUUGAAAAAAAUAAUUAAAUAAAAAUAGUCUGACUUUUGCAUGAAUGCCUUCAAUCCAGUCAUAUAAGAUAACUCUCAAUGAAACAGAAUUCAAUUGUCUGAAAAACUGCCAAAAUUUUCAUUUCUUCUCAAGCAUUACUAACCAUUAAACAUAGAGUUUUAACAAUGAAAACAAUUAUUAAAAAUGGUAUUUCCAACUGUGUAUAAUAAUGCAACAACAAUUUACCUUCUACUAGCACAUUGAAUUACAAGUUCUUCUUUUUCAAAGAAAACUGGCAUAUGGGAAGUACCAUCACUUCCAGCGAUAUUUUUGUUGUAGCUUUUUUUUAUAAGAGACAUUGGCAAAAACUGUUCAUAGAUUGUGUUUUAAGGUGUAUGUUUUAUAGACAGUACUCCAAUUAUCUUUAAUAUAUAAAUUGUUUGUUUCAUUUAAGGCUUUCGUAUGUUUUGGGGCUGUUUCAGACCAUUCCUGAUAUCGUAUUUUCAUAUAAACCCUGCAAUCAUAAUUGCAUACCUCUUUGCAAAAGAAUAAUAAACAUUCACGGAAAUUAAACAGUAACGGAAUUUUUCGAAUUUUUCUCAACAUAAGAAGAGACUUUUGUAUUUUGGCCCAGCUAAUGUUAUUAUAUUGUUGACUAACAUAAGCUUACAAGCAAAUUAACAGGCAGAAUAGAUAAAGAAAAGAUGA